UACGGAGGGUGCAAGCGUUAUCCGGAUUCUCUGGGUUUAAAGGGUGCGUAGGCGGACACUUAAGUCCGUGGUGAAAUCUCUGGGCUUAACCCAGAAACUGCCAUGGAUACUAUUUGUCUUGAAUGUUGUGGAGGUUAGCGGAAUAUGUCAUGUAGCGGUGAAAUGCAUAGAUAUGACAUAGAACACCAAUUGCGAAGGCAGCUGGCUACACAAAUAUUGACGCUGAGGCACGAAAGCGUGGGGAUCAAACAGG
rnacentral:rRNA from 1 species